rnacentral:rRNA from 1 species
UGACACUGCGCCGAAAAUGUACCGGGGCUAAACAUAUUACCGAAGCUGUGGAUUGUCCUUUGGACAAUGGUAGGAGAGCGUUCUAAGGGCGUUGAAGCAUGAUCGUAAGGACAUGUGGAGCGCUUAGAAGUGAGAAUGCCGGUGUGAGUAGCGAAAGACGGGUGAGAAUCCCGUCCACCGAUUGACUAAGGUUUCCAGAGGAAGGCUCGUCCGCUCUGGGUUAGUCGGGUCCUAAGCUGAGGCCGACAGGCGUAGGCGAUGGAUAACAGGUUGAUAUUCCUGUACCACCUAUAAUCGUUUUAAUCGAUGGGGGGACGCAGUAGGAUAGGCGAAGCGUGCGAUUGGAUUGCACGUCUAAGCAGUAAGGCUGAGUAUUAGGCAAAUCCGGUACUCGUUAAGGCUGAGCUGUGAUGGGGAGAAGACAUUGUGUCUUCGAGUCGUUGAUUUCACACUGCCGAGAAAAGCCUCUAGAUAGAAAAUAGGUGCCCGUACCGCAAACCGACACAGGUAGUCAAGAUGAGAAUUCUAAGGUGAGCGAGCGAACUCUCGUUAAGGAACUCGGCAAAAUGACCCCGUAACUUCGGGAGAAGGG